rnacentral:lncRNA from 13 species
CGCUUGUGAUAACGUGUUCAAUAUUCAGCUCGUCCGUCAAACCAAGCCUCUUGAAGCCCGCAGUCCCAAGGAGCAGAGCUGGCCCAGCUGACCGUGUUUACAUCAACAUAGACCUUAAGAAUAAGAGGACAGAUCCUUUACAUCUGGUAAGAAACAUUUACAAUCUCUUCUCUCAGAAGCCUGCAACCUGGAGGCUUCAUCUGCUUGAUAAAACUUGGU